AUGUCAGUCUCAUUUCUUGGCCGCUUAACGCAAGAGACAGGAUUCGAGGCCAAUGUUUUCUUCACUUAUGGAGAGAAGAAGGGAUGCGGUGGAAGAAUCGAGCUUGAAAGCUUGAAAUCACAAGUUGUAAAUUUCUCGCCUGAGGACAAAUCUUUACCGCUAAGUUGUGAGUGGAAGGUAUUUGUCCCAAUGGAUGAAACAAUUCAGCUUACGUUCAACUCUGUUGUAUUUGGAGCUUGUGACAAUUCAACAGGGGAAGCCCAGAGUUGCAGCUGCAACAGAUUGUCGGUUAGUUAGCUUGCCAUUUGUCAAGAUCAUCAGAUACGGUAGAAUUGUGAGCAUCUCGUAACAUAUUUCCUGUUCAUGUAAAGCACAAUAAACUGAUAGAAACUUUCCAAAUCAACUGGUAAUUAAAAUAUUAGCAUUUAUUGUUUGCAUCAAGAUUUGUCAGUUUAACCUGUUGGGCCCUACGCCCGAGUAUUCUCAGGCUAUGCGCGCGCACCUCCAGGGCUUAUUCCCAAGUAUUCUCGGGCUCAGACAUUGCCGUAUACUUUUUGUGAUAACGCCCCCGCAUCAACUCGCAUCAAACCAUAUAGGUAGUGCCAUCUGUUGGGGAGGGUAUGAACUAGGGAUGGCGAUUUUUUUUAAUAAAUCGAUUUCGGGAAAUCGAUAUGAUUUUCGGUAGAAAAUCGAUUCGAUUUUAAAAUCGGAUGGAUCAAAUCGAUUUAAGGUAAAAUCGAUUUUCCUCGAAACGAAUCAUCGAACG
rnacentral:lncRNA from 1 species